CAUUUACAUCAGCUGCAUAAUCAUAGGCAUGGGCAGAUACAUGUUUCCUAGCCUUUCCAGCAAUAAUACACUCUCUCCACAUGGAAAUACCAUGCCCUUCUAUAUAUACUUAGAUUUUCUUCCUGUUUUCCUCCCCAAGGCUAGGAAGUUUUUAUAUUUCGGCCAAAUAAAUAAUGAAAUCAUCCUCUAUCAUUUUCUUAUGUCUCUUUACGACCAUUGUCUCCCACAUCUUCCCAACUAUCAGUACCCCCUCUCCCUCCCCUUCCCUCAUUUUACUCCAAGGAAGGCUGCCCAUGAGAAAACUGAGCAUGUUACUGCCCUACGACAAGCACAAAUACCACAAAAUACAGGAUGGUGAAGAGAUGAAAGGAUCAACCGUCGAAGAAGGUUCAGUGGCAUUUAAACGUACAAGCAGCAGGGACAAUUCAGAUGAGAUUGUCUACCACAUUGAUUAUCAAGGGGUGACAACACAUCCAACUCCAACUCCAAAACAACCCAAAUCGUAGAGAGCUUAUUCGCUUUUAUGAGGAAAUGUAAUUAUGUACUGUGUUUAAAGAUAUAAAUGAAAAGUAAAGAGAGAGGUACCAUUUCUAAGCGA